rnacentral:misc_RNA from 1 species
GAAAUGCGAUAAGUAAUGUGAAUUACAGAAUUCAGUGAAUCAUCGAAUCUUUGAACGCACAUUGCGCCCGCCAUCACUCUGGCGGGCAUGCCUGUUCGAGCGUCAUUUCAACCCUCAGAACCCCUUGCGGGAUCUGGCGUUGGGGAUUGGCAUCCAGCCAGCCCCGAAAUCUAGUGGCGGUCCCUCCGCGACCUCCCCUGUGCAGUAGCGAUACCUCGCAGCGGGACAGCGGUCUGACCACGCCGUAAAACCCCCAACUUCUCAAGGUUGACCUCGAAUCAGGUAGGAAUACCCGCUGAACUUAAGC